rnacentral:rRNA from 1 species
GACGUAGGGCGCAAGCGUUGUCCGGAAUUAUUGGGCGUAAAGAGCUCGUAGGCGGUUUGUUGCGUCGGCCGUGAAAACCUGCAGCUUAACUGUGGGCCUGCGGUCGAUACGGGCAGACUUGAGUUCGGUAGGGGAGACUGGAAUUCCUGGUGUAGCGGUGAAAUGCGCAGAUAUCAGGAGGAACACCGGUGGCGAAGGCGGGUCUCUGGGCCGAUACUGACGCUGAGGAGCGAAAGCGUGGGGAGCGAACAGG